GACGAACGCUGGCGGCGUGCCUAACACAUGCAAGUCGAACGAGGUCCAUCCUUCGGGAGAAGACCUAGUGGCGAACGGGUGAGUAACACGUGAAGAACCUGCCCCGAAGACCGGGAUAACCCUCCGAAAGGAGAGCUAAUACCGGAUACCCCCACCGAACCGCAUGGUUUGGUGAGGAAAUGGAUUCCGCUUCGGGAGGGCUUCGCGGCCUAUCAGCUAGUUGGUGGGGUAACGGCCCACCAAGGCAUCGACGGGUAGCUGGUCUGAGAGGACGAUCAGCCACACUGGGACUGAGACACGGCCCAGACUCCUACGGGAGGCAGCAGUGGGGAAUUUUGGACAAUGGGCGCAAGCCUGAUCCAGCCAUGCCGCGUGAGUGAAGAAGGCCUCGGUGUAAG
rnacentral:rRNA from 1 species